AAUAUCUCAUAACUUGAUGAUGUGAUCUUUCAUUCCAAUAAUUAACUAAGUAUACUUAAUUUGGGCAUACUUAUUAUCAGAACUUCCAAUAUCUAUAGGUACCUAAAAAUAUCUAAUCUUUUCACGAGAGCUCCAUGUUUCCUAAUCAUUAAAAUGAAAAUUUUAAAUGAACUUCCUUUAUCUGAUCUACAUUGAACUCGAUCCUAAUAUCUAGAUAUGCAUUAAUCUUCUUCAUUUCUCGAGCAGAAAAAAUGUUCUUUGCAUUCUCGAGCGAAUACCAUUCCAUGUUUGUUCAUUUUUAAACAUUCCUCUUUCUCGUUUAUAAGUUUUAUACUGUUAUUGCCUUUUUUUUGUUGAUCGUUAUCGUAUCUAUUAUUGAAGUGGUUACAUUGUGCAAUGAACGUCAAAAAACCUCCGACUUUGAGAACAAAUCCCGAGGAGUACUGAAUGGUGUCCCACGUCAUUAAUGAUUUGAUUUUGGUGAAUAUGAGACAAUUCACGCCAUUUUGUGGAUUCACUCCGCGUGUAAUGGAAGCAUGUAUCUAAUGCGUCACGAAGAACCAGUAUGCUUGGUACGAUGGUUAUACGGAUCGUUUGGUUUAUGGAAUCGUUCAAGGUUCAACUUCCAAAACUGAUCUCAAACUUGCAUUUUCUGCAUUG